rnacentral:rRNA from 1 species
CCUACGGGUGGCUGCAGUAGGGAAUAUUGCUCAAUGGGGGAAACCCUGAAGCAGCAACGCCGCGUGGAGGAUGAAGGUUUUACGAUUGUAAACUCCUUUUGUUAGAGAAGAUUAUCACGUUAUCUAUCGAAUAAUCCCUGGCUAACUCCGUGCCAGCCGCCGCGGUAAUACGGAGGGUGCAAGCGUUACUCGGAAUCACUGGGCGUAAAGAGUGCGUAGGCGGGGUAAUAAGUCAGUUGUGAAAUCCUGUAGCUUAACUCGAGAACUGCAGGUGAAACUGGUACUCUGGAGUGUGGGCGAGGUAGGUGGAAUUCUUGGUGUAGGGGUAAAAUGCGUAGAGAUCAAGAGGAAUACUCAUUGCGAAGGCGGCCUGCUGGAACGUUACUGACGCUGAUGCACGAAAGCGUGGGGAGCGAACAGGAUUAGAUACCCCGGUAGUC